GAGGGUACAGCUCAGUGGUAGAGCGCGUGCUUAGCAUGCAUGAGGUCCUGCAUUCAAUCCCCAGUACCUCCA
rnacentral:tRNA from 1 species